GCUGGGUGCGGUGGCGCACGCCUGUAGUCCCAGCUACUCCGGAGGCUGAGGCAGGAGAAUCACUUGAACCCAGGAGGUGGAGGUUGCAGUGAGCCAAGAUUGCGCCACUGCAUUCCAUCCUGGGCGACAGAGUGAGACUCUGCCUCAA
rfam:Nomascus leucogenys chromosome 15, whole genome shotgun sequence.